CCUGCUUUCAAUUUUGUCCGGUGAGAACUCCUGAUAAUUCUGAAUUUGUAAUUCUCAAAUCUUGUUUUUAAAAAUAGUCAUGUAAUUUCUGUACAAAAUGGUAGAAUUUGUAGGAAUUCUGGACAUGCUUCCUGGCUUUCUCAAAGGCCCUGUCUUCACCAGUGGACCUGCUGCAGGGAGGGAGAUACUGAAUGAUGACAGAGAAGUCUAUCCCGAGAGCUCUGCUGGGACAAAGGAGGCAGAAACACCUGGCCAACGCACAAAUGGAAAAGUCGGCAGGACAAGAACUCGGGGUUGGAAAUGAAUAGUGCUUAAUCCCAUGAGGCUGAGGACUUGCUAUUUAGAUGCUCAUGCUGUAAAAGCUUCAAAGACUCAAGGGGAUUUAUUAAGAGCUAGGGCAUUGAAACCUUUGGCUGUGUGCAGCAUCGCCCAUUGAAUCGUAAAUUUGUCUUUAUAAAUAUCGAGAACAUGUACUUGAUGAUUUUACUCAUACAAACCAGGUAAGGAGGUGGUGAAUCAUAUCAUCAUCAUCCUUGAGAAGGAGAGCGAUCUGGAGUGUUCAUUUUCCAGCUGAAAUUACUGGAAGUUUUUUUUUGGCUUUAUUUUGUUGCGUUUUUGAAGGGAGAAAAUAAAAAAGGAGGAAUGCCAAAGGUUGUCAGUUGUUUUCAGGAAAGCAUAUAUUCCAGGUUUCCAUUCCUGUCACCUGGGCUGGGACUUACAUGUAUUUGAAUGAAUUCUAUAUAUUUCCCCUCUUUUCCUGACUCUUCAGUGACAAUCCUAAGACCAUGCUAAUAACAGAAGACAGUAAUCCCUUUUCUUAGCCAAACAAUUUGGAAGCCAUGAUUUUCUUUGCAUAUCAUGAAAGUGACCAUGGUGUUGGAUAUUGUGGUAGAACUUUCAAGUAAAAAAGAACUGUCAUUCAACUGAAUUGGAAGCCUCCAAGACUGCUGAGCACCCCAUGUCUUCGAGUGCACCGAGGCUGGAGGAAUGCUACAGAGGGAAACUUGCUUUGGAAGAAGGUGGUCUUCAUAGCUUCCAAUGUCUCCUAUGCUCCCAUAAAUAAGAGCAGAAAACAGAGACUAUAAAACUUUUGGGUCUCUGAUUUUUCAGACUCUUUUCUUAUUAAUUCCAGCAUAUGCACCUACUGAUGAUGACUUCCUGAGUGACUGAUGUGUGCCAGGUCCUGUAGUUGUUAUAGUUAAAGAGAAUAAAAGAUCCUUCCAUUGCUAUGGUGAUAUUUUUGCCACUAACCAGUUACUCAUCACUCCCAGUUGGAACAUAGCUA
rnacentral:lncRNA from 10 species